rnacentral:rRNA from 1 species
CUGAACCAGCCAAGUAGCGUGAAGGAUGACUGUCCUAUGGGUUGUAAACUUCUUUUAUAAAGGAAUAAAGUCGGGUAUGUAUACCCGUUUGCAUGUACUUUAUGAAUAAGGAUCGGCUAACUCCGUGCCAGCAGCCGCGGUAAUACGGAGGAUCCGAGCGUUAUCCGGAUUUAUUGGGUUCAAAGGGAGCGUAGAUGGAUGUUUAAGUCAGUUGUGAAAGUUUGCGG